rnacentral:piRNA from 1 species
UGGACAGUGGAAAAGGCUUAAAAGGUCAUUC